AUCCUUUUGUAGUUCUUAAACAUAAUGACUGGGUGUUCAUGCACAUGUGAGUGUGCCACCCUCAAACCUUUGUUACAUUGGCACACCAUCCAUUUGACA
ensembl:snoRNA